GCCCGAGUGGCGGAAUGGUAGACGCAGGGGAUUCAAAAUCCCCCGCUGGUAACAGCGUGAGAGUUCGAGUCUCUCCUCGGGCACCA
rnacentral:tRNA from 1 species